GACGAACGCUGGCGGCGUGCUUAACACAUGCAAGUCGAACGGAAAGGCCCUGCUUUUGUGGGGUGCUCGAGUGGCGAACGGGUGAGUAACACGUGAGUAACCUGCCCUUGACUUUGGGAUAACUUCAGGAAACUGGGGCUAAUACCGGAUAGGAGCUCCUGCUGCAUGGUGGGGGUUGGAAAGUUUCGGCGGUUGGGGAUGGACUCGCGGCUUAUCAGCUUGUUGGUGGGGUAGUGGCUUACCAAGGCUUUGACGGGUGGCCGGCCUGAGAGGGUGACCGGCCACAUUGGGACUGAGAUACGGCCCAGACUCCUACGGGAGGCAGCAGUGGGGAAUAUUGCACAAUGGGCUGAAGCCUGAUGCAGCAACGCCGCGUGCGGGAUGACGGCCUUCGGGUUGUAUACCGCUUUCGCCUGUGACGAAGCGUGAGUGACGGUAAUGGGUAAAGAAGCACCGGCUAACUACGUG
rnacentral:rRNA from 1 species